GAUGAACGCUAGCGGCAGGCUUAAUACAUGCAAGUCGAGGGGUAACAGGUCUGUAGCAAUACAGAUGCUGACGACCGGCAAACGGGUGCGGAACACGUACAGAACCUUCCUUCGAGUGGGAGAUGGCCCAGGGAAACUUGGAGUAAUAUCCCACAGGAUCAUAGAGUGGCAUCACUUAGUGAUUAAAGAUUUAUCGCUUGUAGAUGGCUGUGCGGCUGAUUAGGUAGUUGGUGUAGGUAACGGCUCACCAAGCCUUCGAUCAGUAACUGGUGUGAGAGCACGACCAGUCACACGGGCACUGAGACACGGGCCCGACUCCUACGGGAGGCAGCAGUAAGGAAUAUUGGGCAAUGGAGGCAACUCUGACCCAGCCAUGCCGCGUGGAGGAUGAAGGUCCUCUGGAUUGUAAACUUCUUUUAUUUGGGAAGAAAUGCCGAUUUUCUAAUUGGUUUGACGGUACCAGAUGAAUAAGCACCGGCUAACUCCGUGCCAGCAGCCGCCGUAACAC
rnacentral:rRNA from 1 species